rnacentral:rRNA from 1 species
GACGAACGCUGGCGGCGUGCCUAAUACAUGCAAGUAGAACGCACAGUUUAUACCGUAGCUUGCUACACCAUAGACUGUGAGUUGCGAACGGGUGAGUAACGCGUAGGUAACCUGCCUGGUAGCGGGGGAUAACUAUUGGAAACGAUAGCUAAUACCGCAUAAUAUUAAUUAUUGCAUGAUAAUUAAUUGAAAGGUGCAAUUGCACCACUACCAGAUGGACCUGCGUUGUAUUAGCUAGUAGGUGAGGUAACGGCUCACCUAGGCGACGAUACAUAGCCGACCUGCGAGGGUGAUCGGCCACACUGGGACUGAGACACGGCCCAGACUCCUACGGGAGGCAGCAGUAGGGAAUCUUCGGCAAUGGACGAAAGUCUGACCGAGCAACGCCGCGUGAGUGAAGAAGGUUUUCGGAUCGUAAAGCUCUGCUGUAAGAGAAGAACGGGUGUGAGAGUGGAAAGUUCACACUGUGACGGUAUCUUACCAGAAAGGGACGGCUAACUACGUG